rnacentral:rRNA from 1 species
UACGUAGGGGGCCAGCGUUGUUCGGAAUUACUGGGCGUAAAGGGCGCGUAGGCGGCGCGGCCAGUUCGGUGUGCAAUCUCCCGGCUUAACCGGGAGGGGUCGCCGAGGACGACCGUGCUGGAGUGCGGGAAAGGGGAGUGGAAUUCCCGGUGUAGCGGUGAAAUGCGUAGAGAUCGGGAGGAACACCGGCGGCGAAGGCGGCUCCCUGGACCGCAACUGACGCUGAGGCGCGAAAGCUAGGGGAGCAAACAGG